GCGGGAAUAGCUCAGCUGGUAGAGCGUUGCCUUGCCAAGGCAAAGGUCGCGGGUCCGAAUCCCGUUUCCCGCUCCA
rnacentral:tRNA from 1 species